AGAGUUUGAUCCUGGCUCAGGAUGAACGCUGGCGGAGUGCCUUAGGCAUGCAAGUGGAAUGUCGAUAAUCCCGCAAGGGAUGAUCGGCAUCGCAGACGGGUGAGUACAGCGUAGGAAUUUGCCCAAUGGUGGGGAAUAACUCGCCGAAAGGCGGGCUAAUACCGCAUAAGAUCGCAAGAUGAAAGGCCGUAACUGGCCGCCGAUGGAGAAGCCUACGUCCUAUCAGCUAGUUGGUGGGGUAAAAGCCUACCAAGGCUAUGACGGGUAGCUGGACUGAGAGGUUGGUCAGCCACAAUAGCACUGAGACACGGGCUAUACAUCUACGGAUGGCAGCAAAGAAUAAGCACCUGCUAACCACGUGCCAGCAGCCGCGGUAAUACGUGGGGUGCAAGCGUUAUCCGGAUUUACUGGGCGUAAAGAGUUCGUAGGCGUUUUGCCAAGUUUUGUUUGAAAGACCGAGGCUCAACUUCGGAAACGGACGAAAUACUGGCAGAAUCGAGUUAGUUAGGGGGUACUGGAACUAUCAGUGUAGCAGUGAAAUGCGUUGAUAUUGACAGGAACACCAAGGGCGAAGGCAGGUACCUGGGACUUAACUGACGCUGAGGAACGAAAGCUAGGGGAGCGAAACGGAUUAGAGACCCGUGUAGUCCUAGCCGUAAACUAUGUACGCUUGAUCCUUGAUUUCCGCCUUUGGCGGAGCUGGGGGUUGGAGCUAACGCGUGAAGCGUACCGCCUGGGGAGCAUGGCUGUCGUCAGCUCGUGCCGUGGGGUGUCGACUUAAGUGUCGAAACGAGCGCAACCCUUAUCGCAUGUUCAAUAGUCUUGCGAAACUGCCUUGCGUAUAGCGGGGAGGAAGGAGGGGAUGACGUCAAGUCAGCAUGGCGCUUAUGUCUGGGGCCACACACAUCCUACAAUGGGGAGUAACAACGGGUUGCCAAGCCGCAAGGCGGAGCUAAUCCCAUCAAACCUCCCCCCAGUUCAGAUUGAGGGCUGCAACUCGCCCUCAUGAAGACGGACUUGGUAGUAAUCGCGGAUCAGCAGGCCGCGGUGAAUACGUUCUCACUUCUUGUACACACCGCCCAUCAAGCCAGCAAAGUCGGCAAUACCUGAAACUCUGGGUUUCCCGGGGCAAGGGUAGGGUCGGCGAUGAGGGCUAAGUUGUAAAUUGUUGCAACUUGCAGGAGUAAUUC
rnacentral:rRNA from 1 species